rnacentral:rRNA from 1 species
GUCUGUGGCCAUAGGCUUGUGAACACACCUGGUCCAGUCUGAUCUCGGAGCUAAGCAGGGUAGGGUGGGGCUGGAAAGGUGGCUGGGCCCGCUGAGAGCACUGGCUGCUCUUCCAAGUUCCAAGGACC